rnacentral:precursor_RNA from 14 species
GUGAGGUCCAAUUAAUGGUGUGAUGUUCUGUCCCUGAGACCCUUAACCUGUGAGGAAGACAUAUGUCACAGGUGAGGUUCUGAGGAGCUGGACGCCAUGCACAGACCGCACAAACAACA